CGGCAUUUGCAGAUCUCCCAACCCUCUCACUCUCUCGUAUACGUAUAUUGAGGUCGGAGAUCCUUCUAGAUUAUUAAUCUAGAAGGAUUUGGAUCUGUCGGAGUUUGAUCGGCCUCCGGUGGGACAUUUGUUGGAUGAGAAAGUUAUUAUCUCGGAAAUACGAUGAAAUGGGUUACAUUGUUUAAAGAUUUCAAAAAAUAAGUCGGGUCUUUGUCAGCCUCCUUCCUCUUCUUCUUCAUCUUCCUCGUCUAUUAACCAAGACAACAAUGUCACUUCAACCACACAAGUCUCAUCUGCAUCUUCAUCGUCUUCAAGAAUCUACUAUUGGAUGCCAAAAGAAAGCUUGGUGAAAUUUUAUCUGCAUUUGAAUUUUUGGAUAGCAACUCAAUGGAUCUGAUUGGAUUGGGGUGGCAUUUUUGACGUGCAACAAUGAUGUAAUUUACUU